rnacentral:rRNA from 1 species
GAUGAACGCUAGCGGGAGGCCUAACGCAUGCAAGCCGAGCGGUAUUGUUUCUUCGGAAAUGAGAGAGCGGCGUACGGGUGCGGAACACGUGUGCAACCUGCCUUUAUCUGGGGGAUAGCCUUUCGAAAGGAAGAUUAAUACUCCAUAAUAUAUUGAACGGCAUCGUUUAAUAUUGAAAGCUCCGGCGGAUAGAGAUGGGCACGCGCAAGAUUAGCUAGUUGGUGAGGUAACGGCUUACCAAGGCGAUGAUCUUUAGGGGGCCUGAGAGGGUGAUCUCCCACACUGGUACUGAGACACGGACCAGACUCCUACGGGAGGCAGCAGUGAGGAAUAUUGGUCAAUGGGUGCAAGCCUGAACCAGCCAUCCCGCGUGAAGGACGACUGCCCUAUGGGUUGUAAACUUCUUUUGUAUAGGGAUAAACCUACCCUCGUGAGGGUAGCUGAAGGUACUAUACGAAUAAGCACCGGCUAACUCCGUGCCAGCAGCCGCGGUAACAC